GACGAACCGUGCGAACGUUGUUCGGAAUCACUGGGCUUAAAGGGCGCGUAGGCGGUUUGCCAAGUCAGGGGUGAAAUCCUGCAGCUCAACUGUAGAAGUGCCUUUGAUACUGGCGAACUCGAGGGAGGUAGGGGUGCGUGGAACUUCUGGUGGAGCGGUGAAAUGCGUUGAUAUCAGAAGGAACGCCGGUGGCGAAAGCGACGCACUGGACCUUUUCUAACGCUGAGGCGCGAAAAGCUAGGGGAGCAAACGGG
rnacentral:rRNA from 1 species